rnacentral:rRNA from 1 species
GACGAACGCUGGCGGCGUGCCUAAUACAUGCAAGUCGAACGAGAGCGACCGGUGCUUGCACUGGUCAAUCUAGUGGCGAACGGGUGAGUAACACGUGGGUAACCUGCCCAUCAGAGGGGGAUAACAUCCGGAAACGGAUGCUAAAACCGCAUAGGUCUUCGAGCCGCAUGGCUUGAAGAGGAAAAGAGGCGCAAGCUUCUGCUGAUGGAUGGACCCGCGGUGCAUUAGCUAGUUGGUGAGGUAACGGCUCACCAAGGCCGUGAUGCAUAGCCGACCUGAGAGGGUGAUCGGCCACAUUGGGACUGAGACACGGCCCAAACUCCUACGGGAGGCAGCAGUAGGGAAUCUUCCGCAAUGGACGCAAGUCUGACGGAGCAACGCCGCGUGAGUGAAGAAGGUGUUCGGAUCGUAAAACUCUGUUGUUAGAGAAGAACAAGUGCUAGAGUAACUGUUAGCGACUUGACGGUAUCUAACCAGAAAGCCACGGCUAACUACGUG